AGUCACUGCGGUGUGGUCGCCGUCGAGCUCCCCGUGACGUGUUCGUCCUCUGCAGCUCCAUUGGCACGGAGCUGGAGCACUCUAGAGCCUCCCCGAGCCCUCCCCUCGGCCUAUAUAAGGACCCCCAAGGUAUUCCGCAGCUCCCAAGCCCCUCCUCAUCCCUCCUAAUCCACCAGAGCAACGACAUCUCACGGAGUUCGCCUCUGUCCGCCAUGGCCGCCCCGGUCUCAUCCCGUUUCCGACGUGCCUAGCCCCUCUCCUCUCCUCCCGAGCUUUCCACGAGCAGACCCUCGUCUCCGCGAGCCGCCCCAUCUCUCCAGUUCGUCGCCGAAGCCCCUCUAGUCGUGAGCCCCUAGUCCGUCCGCCGCCUCCACCAUUCGGGCACCUCGUCGUCCGGCCGUCUCGAGCAUCCUCGCGCCUUUCCACCACCACCACGAGCCUCCUCUCCUUCCCGCCGACCGCCCCAACCCAUCUCCCUCGCCGGGGACGGCCCGCAUAGCCUGCAACCCCGCCGCACACCGCCUCUCUGUCCUCCUAGGGUCGCCGUCCGUCGCCGCCGUUCCAGGUCUCCCUGGCGGCCUCCGCUCCUCUGAAUGGAUGCGGAAGGUCCUCGCGGCCUGCCGGUGGCCGGAGCCGGCCGGGCCACCAUAGGCCAUCGCCCUGCCUCGCCUCGUCCUCUGUCUCUGUCGGGACAGAGCGAGCACGGGGAAGAAGACGAGCCACGUUGGCCCCCUGUCCCCUGGGCCCGCAUUUUGCAGGUCGUGCCUGGAUUGCUUGCUUGUUUGGUGUGGUUCCUGUGUUCACGAGCUAGGAUAAACAUUCCAGCCAGAGUCCCUGCGGAUUGGAGUCCAUCAUCUCCGUUCGUUGUUCUGCCGCCAAUAGUUAUUCUGCUACCAGUAGUUGUUCGGCUGCCUCGAGUUGUUAUGAUACUUGCAUAGAGCAACUGUGGUUGGAGUAGUGUCGUUGUGCCGAUGUUAUUCAUUGUAAUAUGGGAGACCUUGUAUUCAUAUUCGUGUUUAAUAGAGAGCUGGUUUGUUCUA